rnacentral:rRNA from 1 species
GGUUCGCCGCCGGCGACGUCUCKAKAAUUCCACUGAACCUUAUCAUUUAGAGGAAGGAGAAGUCGUAACAAGGUUUCCGUAGGUGAACCUGCGGAAGGAUCAUUG